rnacentral:rRNA from 1 species
CUCGUAGUUGGAUUCCUGACCUGGGGUAGCCGGUCCGCCUUGCAAAAGGUGCGCACUGAGCGGCCUCGGUCAUCCUUGAGAAGAGCGGUCCUGGCAUUCAGUUGUCGGGGUCGGGAUUCUCGACGUUUACUGUGAAAAAAUCAGAGUGUUCAACGCAGGCUUACGCCUUGAAUACAUUAGCAUGGAAUAAUGAGAUAGGACCUUGGCGGUCUAUUUUGUUGGUUUGCACGCCGAGGUAAUGAUUAAAAGGGACGGUUGGGGUUCUUCGUAUUCAAUUGUCAUAGGUGAAAUUCUUGGAUUUAUGGAAGACGAACUGCUGCGAAAGCGUCGAACAAGGACGUUCUCAUUAAUCAAGAACGAAAGUUAGGGGAUCGAAGAUGAUUAGAUACCAUCUUAGUCUUAACCAUAAACUAUGCCAAUUCAGGAUUGGCGGUCGUUUGUUCUCGACUCCGUCAGCACUGUAUGAGAAAUCAAAAUCUUUGGGUUCCGGGGGGAGUAUGGUCGCAAGGGUGAAACUUAAAGAAAUUGACGGAAGGGCACCACCAGGAGUGGAGCCUGCGGCUUAAUUUGACUCAAC